rnacentral:rRNA from 1 species
AGCGAAUGGAUUAAGAGCUUGCUCUUAUGAAGUUAGCGGCGGACGGGUGAACUAACACGUGGGUAACCUGCCCAUAAGACUGGGAUAACUCCGGGAAACCGGGGCUAAUACCGGAUAACAUUUUGAACCGCAUGGUUCGAAAUUGAAAGGCGGCUUCGGCUGUCACUUAUGGAUGGACCCGCGUCGCAUUAGCUAGUUGGUGAGGUAACGGCUCACCAAGGCAACGAUGCGUAGCCGACCUGAGAGGGUGAUCGGCCACACUGGGACUGCAGACACGGCCCAGACUCCUACGGGAGGCGAGCAGUAGGGCAAUCUUCCGCAAUGGACGAAAGUCUGACGGAGCCAACGCCGCGUGAGUGAUGAAGGCUUUCGGGUUCGUAAAAACUCUGUUGUUAGGGGAAGAACAAGUGCUAGUUGAAUAAGCCUGGCACCCUUGACCGUUACCUAAACCAGAAAAGCCACGGGAUAAACUAACGAUGCCCAGCCAAGCCCGCCGGGUUAAAUAACG